UCUGCUCAGACAGAUGAAAAGAAGCAGUGUCAAGUUAUUACAUCUGUCUCUCCAUUUCUUCCCUUAAUUUGUAAAUGCAGGGACCAAAAAAAGGAGACAACAUAAUAUGAAGGAGUUCUGGAUGUGAAAGAUUCCUUUUAGGAAGGUAAUGGGCCAGUCAGGGAAAGACUGUGUCUAGCUGGUGGGAGAGUCUCCUCAGCUGCUGCACGUGUUGGGGGAAAAACACAUCAGGCAGUGGAUCAUACUCCUAGGAUGCAUAGAGAUAAAUGCAUUACGCCCUGCAGCUUACGGUGUGCUGUCAUCUGCUAUCCCACGGGAGAAUCAAAGGGAUGC